GUAAGUCAUUCUAGCAUUUCUCAUAUUUAUAUUGAUGUUAAUGAAUAUAUAUGUUUAGAUUCAUUAAUAUCAAUAUGAAUAUGGAAAAUGUUAGAAUUAUUUAUAUUAUGAAACGGAGGAAUUACGUAAUAAUAACCAUUUAUGGUGGUGUAGCCAAUUAUUUUUCACCCAACAUUUCGUCAGGGAUGUCAGGAAGUGAUUGUUUGCUGUCAGCCAUUCAGCUUGAUGACCCUAAAUCACUGGACCCUCGUCAUGGUAGUACUUGUUUUGCUUGUAGCAAUGCCUAGCUUUCAUUUGCAUAUCGACACAGUGAUCUCUUGUUGCUGCAAGCCUGAAAUUGUCUGGAUGCUGCAUCUGAAGCUACCUGAAGCAAAGCAACACUGCAAGAUUUAUCCCAUGGAAGGGAUUCUUGGAUCAUGACAUGUUUCUUGGCAGCCUGUGUGGUCUUGACAAAGAUUCACUUCUCAGAAAGCGAUGUGUAAGUAGAAAUCUGUUCUGCUAUGGAAAUUAUGGACCAGUUUUUGAGUUUUGACCCCUGCACAGAGAUGAUUUGGCUCAACUACCCCAUCCUUGGUGAAUCACAGCCACAAAUUUCUUCUAUUUCAAAUUCUGAAUUCUGUGACCUGCACUCCUGGUUUUCCAAGAUUAAGAGAAGGGGAGUUUUAAAACUUUAGCUGAAAGGAAAAACAAGGGAACAAACAAGAAAGAAAGAAAGGAAACUUUAAUGGUUAAGUCACACCUCGUCUCAAGAAAUUUUCCUCUCCAAGCUCUUCUCAGGAUUCAUCCAAAUUUCAAAGAGCUUUGGGCAAAUGGUUGGAUACACCCAAGUUCCUUCACAAAUUAUUCAAGAGGAUUGAAUUCUUUGUAUAUUUAUUUGUUUAUGAUGUUUUAUAGCAUUCCAAAGGAAAAGUGUAUGCUGAACCAAACUAAAUCAAACAAAAUUAAUAAACUGUGAGAAUCUUGCAAGUAGCCUCCAGCCACCAUCUCACCAA